GCCGAGCAGUACCCAGUCAGCAGCGCCGCCCAAUACCCGAUGUCGCCUGGCGUUAACUUCAGCUCCCAGCUAGCCAAGCAGCUUUCCGCACCCCUGACCGCUCGCAGCAGCCCCGUGCAAAUGACGCCGUCGAAAGGCGGCUACAUGCCGGCGCCCACCCUCGCCAAGCAGCUGGCGGCUCCGGCCAUGGUGCCGCCCUCGUCACCCAUGAACCACAGUCGCCUCGGCAUUCCGUACGGACCGUCGCAGCACGGCGCUGCGCCGGGCAUGG